GAUGAACGCUGGCGGCGUGCCUAAUACAUGCAAGUCGAGCGAACGGACGAGAAUCUUGCUUCUCUGAUGUUAGCGGCGGACGGGUGAGUAACACGUGGAUAACCUACCUAUAAGACUGGGAUAACUUCGGGAAACCGGAUCUAAUACCGGAUAAUAUUUUGAACCGCAUGGUUCAAAAGUGAAAGACGGUCUUGCUGUCACUUAUAGAUGGAUCCGCGCUGCAUUAGCUAGUUGGUAAGGUAACGGCUUACCAAGGCAACGAUGCAUAGCCGACCUGAGAGGGUGAUCAGCCACACUGGAACUGAGACACGGUCCAGACUCCUACGGGAGGCAGCAGUAGGGAAUAUUACGCAAUGGGCGAAAGCCUGACGGAGCAACGCCGCGUGAGUGAUGAAGGUCUUCGGAUCGUAAAACUCUGUUAUUAGGGAAGAACAUAUGUGUAAGUAACUGUGCACAUCUUGACGGUACCUACUCAGAAAGCCACGGCUAACUACGUG
rnacentral:rRNA from 1 species